rnacentral:pre_miRNA from 1 species
AAUGUGCUUUUGGAGUUGUGAACCUUGCUGUGAGGAAUGCCGCAUGGACCGAAGCUAUGUGCUCCAUCUUAACGUGGUGGUAUUGAUACUACGUUUCGGACCAGGCUUCAUUCCCCUCAGCGCAGUUUCAUCAUGGUGAUGGACGG